CAAGUCGAGCGGACGGAUGGGAGCUUGCUCCCUGAAGUCAGCGGCGGACGGGUGAGUAACACGUGGGCAACCUGCCUGUAAGACUGGGAUAACUCCGGGAAACCGGGGCUAAUACCGGAUAACUCUUUUCCUCACAUGAGGAAAAGCUGAAAGAUGGUUUCGGCUAUCACUUACAGAUGGGCCCGCGGCGCAUUAGCUAGUUGGUGAGGUAACGGCUCACCAAGGCCACGAUGCGUAGCCGACCUGAGAGGGUGAUCGGCCACACUGGGACUGAGACACGGCCCAGACUCCUACGGGAGGCAGCAGUAGGGAAUCUUCCGCAAUGGACGAAAGUCUGACGGAGCAACGCCGCGUGAGUGAUGAAGGUUUUCGGAUCGUAAAACUCUGUUGUCAGGGAAGAACAAGUACCGGAGUAACUGCCGGUACCUUGACGGUACCUGACCAGAAAGCCACGGCUAACUACGUGCCAGCAGCCGCGGUAAUACGUAGGUGGCAAGCGUUGUCCGGAAUUAUUGGGCGUAAAGCGCGCGCAGGCGGUUCCUUAAGUCUGAUGUGAAAGCCCCCGGCUCAACCGGGGAGGGUCAUUGGAAACUGGGGAACUUGAGUGCAGAAGAGAAGAGUGGAAUUCCACGUGUAGCGGUGAAAUGCGUAGAGAUGUGGAGGAACACCAGUGGCGAAGGCGACUCUUUGGUCUGUAACUGACGCUGAG
rnacentral:rRNA from 2 species